AUUGAACGCUGGCGGCAUGCUUUACACAUGCAAGUCGAACGGCAGCGCGGGGCAACCUGGCGGCGAGUGGCGAACGGGUGAGUAAUAUAUCGGAACGUACCCAGAAGUGGGGGAUAACGUAGCGAAAGUUAAGCUAAUACCGCAUACGAUCUACGGAAGAAAGUGGGGGACCUUCGGGCCUCAUGCUUGGGGCGCGGCCGAUAUCUGAUUAGCUAGUUGGUGAGGUAAAGGCUCACCAAGGCAACGAUCAGUAGCUGGUCUGAGAGGACGACCAGCCACACUGGGACUGAGACACGGCCCAGACUCCUACGGGAGGCAGCAGUGGGGAAUUUUGGACAAUGGGCGCAAGCCUGAUCCGGCAAUGCCGCGUGAGUGAAGAAGGCCUUCGGGUUGUAAAGCUCUUUUGUCAGGGAAGAAACGGCUCGGGCUAAUAUCCUGGGCUAAUGACGGUACCUGAAGAAUAAGCACCGGCUAACUACGUGCCAGCAGCCGCCGUAA
rnacentral:rRNA from 1 species